rnacentral:rRNA from 1 species
AUACAUAGGGGGCAAGCGUUAUCCGGAAUUACUGGGCGUAAAGGGUGCGUAGGUGGUUUCUUAAGUCAGAAGUGAAAGGCUACAGCUCAACCGUAGUAAGCUUUUGAAACUAAGAGACUUGAGUGCAGGAGAGGAGAGUAGAAUUCCUAGUGUAGCGGUGAAAUGCGUAGAUAUUAGGAGGAAUACCAGUUGCGAAGGCGGCUCUCUGGACUGUAACUGACACUGAGGCACGAAAGCGUGGGGAGCAAACAGGAUUAGAUACCCUGGUAGUCCACGCCGUAAACGAUGAGUACUAGCUGUCGGGGGUUACCCCCCUCGGUGGCGCAGCUAACGCAUUAAGUACUCCGCCUGGGAAGUACGCUCGCAAGAGUGAAACUCAAAUGAAUUGGCGGGG